rnacentral:rRNA from 1 species
CCUACGGGUGGCAGCAGUAGGGAAUCUUCCACAAUGGACGAAAGUCUGAUGGAGCAACGCCGCGUGAGUGAAGAAGGGUUUCGGCUCGUAAAGCUCUGUUGGUAGUGAAGAAAGAUAGAGGUAGUAACUGGCCUUUAUUUGACGGUAAUUACUUAGAAAGUCACGGCUAACUACGUGCCAGCAGCCGCGGUAAUACGUAGGUGGCAAGCGUUGUCCGGAUUUAUUGGGCGUAAAGCGAGUGCAGGCGGUUCAAUAAGUCUGAUGUGAAAGCCUUCGGCUCAACCGGAGAAUUGCAUCAGAAACUGUUGAACUUGAGUGCAGAAGAGGAGAGUGGAACUCCAUGUGUAGCGGUGGAAUGCAUAGAUAUCACGCAGAACUCCGAUUGCGAAGGCAGCAUACCGGCGCUCAACUGACGCUCAUGCACGAAAGUGUGGGUAUCGAACAGGAUUAGAUACCCCAGUAGUC